GACGAACGCUGGCGGCGUGCUUAACACAUGCAAGUCGAACGAAGAGCGAUGGAAGCUUGCUUCUAUCACUCUUAGUGGCGAACGGGUGAGUAACGCGUAAUCAACCUGCCCUUCAGAGGGGGACAACAGUUGGAAACGACUGCUAAUACCGCAUACGAUCUAAUCUCGGCAUCGAGGAUAGAUGAAAGGUGGCCUCUACAUGUAAGCUAUCACUGAAGGAGGGGAUUGCGUCUGAUUAGCUAGUUGGAGGGGUAACGGCCCACCAAGGCGAUGAUCAGUAGCCGGUCUGAGAGGAUGAACGGCCACAUUGGGACUGAGACACGGCCCAGACUCCUACGGGAGGCAGCAGUGGGGAAUCUUCCGCAAUGGACGAAAGUCUGACGGAGCAACGCCGCGUGAGUGAUGACGGCCUUCGGGUUGUAAAGCUCUGUUAAUCGGGACGAAAGGCCUUCUUGCGAAUAGUGAGAAGGAUUGACGGUACCGGAAUAGAAAGCCACGGCUAACUACGU
rnacentral:rRNA from 1 species